rnacentral:rRNA from 1 species
CAAUAGCGUAUAUUAACGUUGUUGCAGUUAAAAAGCUCGUAGUUGGAUUUCUGGAGGGAGCGUCGGCCCGUAUUUACGAGUGCGUGACGUCUCUGUCCAUCCUUGCGGGAAGGCACGGCAUUGAUUUGUUGUGUCGGAUCGCAUCAUUUACUGUGAAAAAAUUAGAGUGUUCAAAGCAGGCUUUCGCUUGAAUACAUUAGCAUGGAAUAAUAAGAUAGGACUUUGGUGCUAUUUUGUUGGUUGAGCCUAAAGUAAUGAUUAAUAGGGAUAGUUGGGGGCACCUGUAUUGCGUUGUCAGAGGUGAAAUUCUUGGAUUUACGCAAGACAAACAGCUGCGAAAGCAUUUGCCAAGGAUGUUUUCAUUG